rnacentral:sRNA from 1 species
UCUAAACCCUGUGCCGUAGGGGCGUACGG